rnacentral:rRNA from 1 species
AGCAGCCGCGGUAAUUCCAGCUCCAAUAGCGUAUAUUAAAGUUGUUGCAGUUAAAAAGCUCGUAGUUGAACUUCGGAAUUUGCCCAUUGGUCAGGCUUAACUGUCUGCACUGGUGUGACGAGUUCCUACCUUCUGAGGAAUCUCCAUGUCAUUCAGUUGGUGUGGGGGGAAAUCAGGACUGUUACUUUGAAAAAAUUAGAGUGUUUAAAGCAGGCGUCCGUCUGAAUACAUUAGCAUGGAAUAAUAAAAUAGGACGGUUUGGUUCUAUUUUGUUGGUUUCUAGGAUCACCGUAAUGAUUAAUAGGGAUAGUUGGGGGCAUUAGUAUUCAAUUGUCAGAGGUGAAAUUCUUGGAUUUAUUGAAGACUAACUACUGCGAAAGCAUUUGCCAAGGAUGUUUUCAUUAAUCAAGAACGAAAGUUAGGGGAUCGAAGACGAUCAGAUACCGUCGUAGUCUUAACCAUAAACUAUGCCGACUAGGGAUC